rnacentral:rRNA from 1 species
UACGUAGGGGGCAAGCGUUGUCCGGAUUUAUUGGGCGUAAAGAGCGUGUAGGCGGCCGCACAGGUCCGUUGUGAAAACUGGAGGCUUAACCUUCAGACGUCGAUGGAAACCGUGCGGCUAGAGUCCGGAAGAGGGAGAAUGGAAUUCCUGGUGUAGCGGUGAAAUGCGCAGAUAUCAGGAAGAACACCCGUGGCGAAAGCGGCUCUCUGGAACGGUACUGACGCUGAGACGCGAAAGCGUGGGGAGCGAACAGG